GACGAACGCUGGCGGCGUGCUUAACACAUGCAAGUCGAACGGUGAUCUUGGGAGCUUGCUUCUGGGUGAUCAGUGGCGAACGGGUGAGUAACACGUGAGUAACCUGCCCCUGACUCUGGAAUAACUUCGGGAAACCGAAGCUAAUACCGGAUAUGACACAGAGCCGCAUGGUUUCUGUGUGGAAAGUUUUUUCGGUUGGGGAGGGACUCGCGGCCUAUCAGCUUGUUGGUGAGGUAAUGGCUCACCAAGGCGACGACGGGUAGCCGGCCUGAGAGGGCGACCGGCCACACUGGGACUGAGACGCGUCCCAGACUCCUACGGGAGGCAGCAGUGGGGAAUAUUGCACAAUGGGCGAAAGCUUGAUGCCGCGACGCCGCGUGAGGGAUGAAGGCCUUCGGGUUGUAAACCUCUUUCAGUAGGGAAGAAGCGCAAGUGACGGUACCUACAGAAGAAGCACCGGCUAACUACGUGCCAGCAGCCGCGGUAAUAC
rnacentral:rRNA from 1 species